UACGUAGGCAGCGAGCGUUGUUCGGAAUUACUGGGCGUAAAGGGUUUGUAGGUGGCUGAUCAAGUCAGACGUGAAAUCCCUCAGCUUAACUGGGGAACUGCGUCUGAUACUGGUUAGCUUGAGUGCAGGAGAGGAACGCGGAAUUCCAGGUGUAGCGGUGAAAUGCGUAGAUAUCUGGAGGAACACCGGUGGCGAAGGCGGCGUUCUGGACCGCAACCGACACUGAAAAACGAAAGCCAGGGGAGCAAACGGG
rnacentral:rRNA from 1 species